ACGCUGGCGGCAUGCCUAAUACAUGCAAGUCGAGCGAACAGAUGAAGUGCUUGCACUUCUGACGUUAGCGGCGAACGGGUGAGUAACACGUAAGGAAUCUACCUAUAAGCGGGGGAUAACAUUCGGAAACGGGUGCUAAUACCGCAUAAUAUCUUCUUCCGCAUGGAAGAAGAUUGAAAGACGGCUCUGCUGUCACUUAUAGAUGACCUUGCGGUGCAUUAGUUAGUUGGUGGGGUAACGGCCUACCAAGACGAUGAUGCAUAGCCGACCUGAGAGGGUGAUCGGCCACAUUGGGACUGAGACACGGCCCAAACUCCUACGGGAGGCAGCAGUAGGGAAUCUUCCGCAAUGGGCGAAAGCCUGACGGAGCAAUGCCGCGUGAGUGAAGAAGGCCUUCGGGUCGUAAAACUCUGUUAUAAGAGAAGAACAAAUUGUAGAGUAACUGCUACAGUCUUGACGGUAUCUUAUCAGAAAGCCACGGCUAACUACGUGCCAGCAGCCGCGGUAAUACGUAGGUGGCAAGCGUUGUCCGGAUUUAUUGGGCGUAAAGGGAGCGCAGGUGGUUUCUUAAGUCUGAUGUGAAAGCCCACGGCUUAACCGUGGAGGGUCACUGGAAACUGGGAAACUUGAGUACAGAAGAGGAAUGUGGAACUCCAUGUGUAGCGGUGGAAUGCGUAGAUAUAUGGAAGAACACCAGUGGCGAAGGCGACAUUCUGGUCUGUUACUGACACUGAGGCUCGAAAGCGUGGGGAGCAAACAGGAUUAGAUACCCUGGUAGUCC
rnacentral:rRNA from 1 species